AGACACGCACACGCACACGCACACGCACAUGCACGCACACACGGGGUAAUGAAGGACAGGCCCCCUUCCCCUCUGGGUGGCAGUUCUCAGGCCUCUGCAGUGGCCUCGGAAACAGAAAACCCGCCCAGGUCGGAUGCGGGUCUGAGGCCUGCAUCCUCCUGCCUCAUUUUGGAGGGACUCGGGUGGGAGUCAGCUGAGGAGGGAUGUGGAGUCACUCGUUGUUGGAGUCGCUGGGUGAGCUGGAGGGGAGGCGUGGGGGCGAGCAGCGUGGUGGCUGCCUCGGGUCAUUAGGAUGGUCGGGAGCAGACAGUGGCCGGGAGCCUCAGGUCAUUAGGAUGGUCGGGAGCAGACAGUGGCCGGGAGCCUCAGGUCAUUAGGAUGGUCAGAAGCAGACAAUGGCCGGGAGCCUCAGGUCAUUAGGAUGAUCGGGAGCAGACAGUGGCCGGGAGCCUCGGGUCAUUAGGAUGAUCGGGUGCAGACAGUGGCCGGGAGUCGGGCAGGACUUGGUGGUUAGGUGAUGGGACUAGGAGCAAACGGGUUCCGCAGACGCCGAAAGGAGUGGGGGAUGUAGGUAAGGGGUCAGUAAAGGGUGAGUACAACAUUUAAAGAGAGGCCCUCGUUUCAGAUAUUUUAAAAAUAUGCCUGGCAAAAAAAAAAAAAAAA